AUUGAACGCUGGCGGCAGGCCUAACACAUGCAAGUCGAGCGAGCGGCGGACGGGUGAGUAAUGUCUGGGAAACUGUCCGAUGGAGGGGGAUAACUACUGGAAACGGUAGCUAAUACCGCACAUCAUCUGAUGUGCCCAGAUGGGAUUAGCUAGUAGGUGGGGUAACGGCUCACCUAGGCGACGAUCCCUAGCUGGUCUGAGAGGAUGACCAGCCACACUGGAACUGAGACACGGUCCAGACUCCUACGGGAGGCAGCAGUGGGGAAUAUUGCACAAUGGGCGCAAGCCUGAUGCAGCCAUGCCGCGUGUGUGAAGAAGGCCUUCGGGUUGUAAAGCACUUUUGGCAGGAAAGCGGUACCUGCAGAAUAAGCACCGGCUAACUACGUGCCAGCAGCCGCGGUAAUUC
rnacentral:rRNA from 1 species